rnacentral:rRNA from 1 species
UAGUCCACGCCGUAAACGAUGAUUACUCGGUGCUGGCGAUAUACAGUCAGUGCCUAAGCGAAAGUGAUAAGUAAUCCACCUGGGGAGUACGAUCGCAAGGUUGAAACUCAAAGGAAUUGACGGGGGCCCGCACAAGCGGUGGAGCAUGUGGUUUAAUUCGAUGAUACGCGAGGAACCUUACCUGGGCUUAAAUGCAUAAUGACAGACUGAGAAAUCAGUUUUUCUUCGGACAGAAUGCAAGGUGCUGCAUGGCUGUCGUCAGCUCGUGCUGUGAGGUGUCGGGUUAAGUCCCAUAACGAGCGCAACCCCUAUUUCUAGUUGCCAGCAUGUAAUGAUGGGGACUCUAGAGAAACUGCCCGCGCAAGCGGUGAGGGAAGGUGGGGGACGACGUCAAGUCAUCACGGGCCCUUAC